rnacentral:rRNA from 1 species
GACGAACGCUGGCGGCGUGCUUAACACAUGCAAGUCGAACGGAAAGGCCCUGCUCUUGUGGGGUGCUCGAGUGGCGAACGGGUGAGUAACACGUGAGUAACCUGCCCUUGACUUUGGGAUAACUUCAGGAAACUGGGGCUAAUACCGGAUAGGAGCUCCUGCUGCAUGGUGGGGGUUGGAAAGUUUCGGCGGUUGGGGAUGGACUCGCAGCUUAUCAGCUGGUUGGUGGGGUAGUGGCUUACCAAGGCUUUGACGGGUAGCCGGCCUGAGAGGGUGACCGGCCACAUGGGGACUGAGAUACGGCCCAGACGCCUACGGGAGGCAGCAGUGGGGAAUAUUGCACAAUGGGCGGAAGCCUGAUGCAGCAACGCCGCGUGCGGGAUGACGGCCUACGAGUUGUAAACCGCUUUCGCCUGUGACGAAGCGUGAGUGACGGUAAUGGGUAAAGAAGCACCGGCUAACUACGUG